rnacentral:rRNA from 1 species
CGAACGCUGGCGGCGUGCUUAACACAUGCAAGUCGAACGAGAAAGCGGGCUUCGGUCCGUGAGUAAAGUGGCAGACGGGUGAGUAACACGUGGGUAACCUGCCCGGAGGUGGGGGAUAACCCUUCGAAAGGAGGGCUAAUACCGCAUGAUAUCUCGGACUUCUCGGAGAUCGAGAUCAAAGCUAGCCUCUGUUUCAUGCUAGCGCCACCGGAGGGGCCCGCGCCCCAUUAGCUUGUUGGUGAGGUAACGGCUCACCAAGGCUACGAUGGGUAGCCGGCCUGAGAGGGUGAUCGGCCACACUGGAACUGAGACACGGUCCAGACUCCUACGGGAGGCAGCAGUGAGGAAUUUUGCGCAAUGGGCGAAAGCCUGACGCAGCGACGCCGCGUGGAGGACGAAGGUCUUCGGAUCGUAAACUCCUGUCAAGCGGGACGAAUACUGUGGGGAUGAAUAAGCCUCGCAAUUGACGGUACCGCUGGAGGAAGCCCCGGCUAACUCC